rnacentral:rRNA from 1 species
CCAGACUCCUACGGGAGGCAGCAGUGGGGAAUAUUGCACAAUGGGGGAAACCCUGAUGCAGCGACGCCGCGUGAGUGAAGAAGUAUUUCGGUAUGUAAAGCUCUAUCAGCAGGGAAGAAAUAGCGACCUUUGGGUCGCCAGACGGUACCUGAUUAAGAAGCCCCGGCUAACUACGUGCCAGCAGCCGCGGUAAUACGUAGGGGGCAAGCGUUAUCCGGAUUUACUGGGUGUAAAGGGAGCGUAGACGGUGAUGCAAGUCAGAAGUGAAAGCCCGGGGCUCAACUCCGGGACUGCUUUUGAAACUGUGUAACUGGAGUGCAGGAGAGGUAAGCGGAAUUCCUGGUGUAGCGGUGAAAUGCGUAGAUAUUAGGAAGAACACCAGUGGCGAAGGCGGCUUGCUGGACAGUAACUGACGUUGAGGCUCGAAAGCGUGGGGAGCAAACAGGAUUAGAUACCCUCGUAAGC